AAUGUCAAAUGUCUUGUCGUGUUUGAUGGUUCAAAUGGCGAGAGCUGCUUUCUUAAACCACAGAGGCUCUGGCAGGGCCGUUUAGGUUCAUUUCUGGGAUCAAACCUGCUGCCUGCCCCAUAGAUCCAACAAAACCACUGGUCCCUGCUGUGGCAUCAGCUGUUUAUCUUCAUCGACUGGUGCAGCGCCUGAGGUCUGCACGACUCGUUCAGCGUGCCAAAGGAGUUCCAAACUGGUCGCCAGUCGUAUGAGGGCACAAAAGAAGCCAGCGUCAUAACUGGGUGAGGAAGAAGCAGAUGAUGAGCAGCCUGUUUGAUUCAGUUGGCGGCACGAAGUAGAAAAUGGCCAACAGUGGGGUAACUCGCG